rnacentral:rRNA from 1 species
UACAGAGGGUGCAAGCGUUGUUCGGAAUUACUGGGCGUAAAGCGCGCGCAGGCGGGUUUGUACGUCGGGAGUGAAAUCUCACUGCUCAACGGUGGGGCUGCUUCUGAUACUGCAAAUCUUGAGACCGGUAGAGGUUGGUAGAAUUGCAGGUGUAGCGGUGGAAUGCGUAGAGAUGCGGAGGAACACCGAUGGCGAAGGCAGCCUCCUGGGAUAACACUGACGCUCAUGCACGAAAGCGUGGGGAGCAAACAGG